AACUAUUGGCAUAAUCUCACCAAAUAUAAAGUUGUUUCUUGGGUGCGCACAUACUUUUUCAAUCUAAAAUAUACUUAAGAUUUGAUGAAAAAACAAGGAAAAUCACGAAAUUUAACAUAAUAUGCAAACUAAGUCAUGAUUUGUUGCCAUGGUAACUUUUUCGAUGUCAAAUUUGUUUUGUUUUUCUUAGUACCUUAUACCUUAGUCAAGUUUUCAGUUAUUUAAGAAUAUGUAUGAUAACUUUUAAAUUUGCA
rnacentral:lncRNA from 1 species